rnacentral:rRNA from 1 species
AUUGAACGCUGGCGGCAUGCCUUACACAUGCAAGUCGAACGGCAGCACGGGAGCAAUCCUGGUGGCGAGUGGCGAACGGGUGAGUAAUGUAUCGGAACGUGCCCAGUCGUGGGGGAUAACGUAGCGAAAGCUACGCUAAUACCGCAUACGAUCUAUGGGUGAAAGCGGGGGAUCGCAAGACCUCGCGCGGUUGGAGCGGCCGAUAACAGAUUAGGUAGUUGGUGGGGUAAAGGCCCACCAAGCCUGAGAUCUGUAGCUGGUCUGAGAGGACGACCAGCGACACUGGAACUGAGACACGGUCCAGACUCCUACGGGAGGCAGCAGUGGGGAAUUUUGGACAAUGGGCGCAAGCCUGAUCCAGCAAUGCCGCGUGCAGGAUGAAGGCCUUCGGGUUGUAAACUGCUUUUGUACGGAACGAAACGGCUUUUUCUAAUACAGAGAGCUAAUGACGGUACCGUAAGAAUAAGCACCGGCUAACUACGUGCCAGCAGCCGCCGUAA